rnacentral:rRNA from 1 species
GAUGAACGCUAGCGGCAGGCUUAAUACACGCAAGUCGAGGGACAGCACAGGUAGCAAUACUGGGUGGUAACCGGCAAACGGGUGCGGAACACGUACACAACCUUCCUUUAAGUGGGGGAUAGCCCAGAGAAAUUUGGAUUAAUACCCCGUAAUAUAGUUGAAUGGCAUCAUUUGAUUAUUAUAGCUACGGCGCUUAAUGAUGGGUGUGCGGCUGAUUAGAUAGUUGGCGGGGUAACGGCCCACCAAGUCUACGAUCAGUAGCUGAUGUGAGAGCAGGAUCAGCCACACGGGCACUGAGACACGGGCCCGACUCCUACGGGAGGCAGCAGUAAGGAAUAUUGGUCAAUGAACGCAAGUCUGAACCAGCCAUGCCGCGUGAAGGAUUAAGGUCCUCUGGAUUGUAAACUUCUUUUAUUUGGGACGAAAAAGGGCCUUUCUAGGUCAACUGACGGUACCAGAUGAAUAAGCACCGGCUAACCCCGUGCCAGCCGCCGCCGUAAAAC